GGCCAGAACCGCUACUCCUCCAGGCCCGGGAGACGCGGCCGUGGAGCGUGAAACGCUUCUUGCAAGCGAGGAAACGGUCAGCAGUUCUAGAAGAAUCUUUCUGGACAAAAGACCUGGAGUUGGCACUUUUGGCUGCCACUCAACAUUGAAUGGCCUCUAGCUGUGACCCAUCUUGGGACAAGAAAAUAAACUAAGGAGACGCAACACCUGCUGUUAGCUGAACCUGCUGACCAGGCUCCGUCUCCUCAAAGUUUUGGGGGAGCAGAGAAGACGGUAUGAGCAGAACUUCUUUCUCUUGGAUCAGCUCCUAGGUUUGUUCUAGUGCCUGAAGAGAACAGGUUGCAGUAUCUCCAACUGCAAAGCAGGUGCGUGGAGCCACAUUCCUUCUGUUGAGCAAAGCCCUUCAGAGGGGCCCACGGGCAGGUGAGUCCUCCUCCCUUAACACAAUAUCACAGACAGUCCAGCCUCCAAGCCUCAAAGGGCAGAGCAAAAGGGCCAAAGAGGAGAUGGCAGGCACAGCCUGGACUGUCUGAAAUUUCAGAUCGGCAGAGGAAAUGUUGGCAAGCGUCGGGACCAACAUUCUUCUACCAUUAACACUCACCUAGGAAUAAUAUCUAUCUUUUGGGCUGGCACUUCAGGUUUACUGUCUCAUAUAAUCUCGACAACCUGGGAGGUAGAUGCAUUCAUAUUCUUAUUUUGCAGAUGAGGCAAUUGAUCCUCCGACAGGUUGAGGAGCACCUGCAAGGUCUCAGACAGGUGGUAAGUAUCAGAAAGAGAGGGUUUAAAUGCAGAUUCGGUCUGAUUCUGCAGGAGAUCUCAUACCUGAACAGGUGAGUCAUCGUCACGUUUCAGGAGCAACCACCAGGGCAUGCUGAACUUUCUAAGGCAGUAGGGUGACCAGCUGCCUUGGUUUGCCGGAGACUGGGGGUUUCCCAGGACACAAGACUUGCAACGCUAAAACUGGGAAAGUUCUGGACAGACUGGGACAAGCUGGUUCCCUUAUCUGGAAGUGAGAAUAAAACAUACGCUACUAAGAGUGCUGUGACUUUAAACUGUAAAAUCAAAAUAAGUGGCAAACCAGUGGUUUAUGGGUAGGAUGUGAGUCUCUGGCGAGUUUCUUUUUAACUGCAUGGAGUUCCUAAGGCAUUUUACACAGAUCGCAUUUGAAAUGCCAGAGUUGUUGCAUAGAAAGUUGGACCUGGGGCUUUCAAAAAAUAGAAAGAGCGGGUCUUGGAAGGCUACAGUCCCAGCAAGGGUGAUGGCUCCUUUCGGAAUUCUAAGUUCCUGCUGGCCAACCUUAUUCAUUAGAUCAUGGGCUUGGCUCUUGGAGACAGUCAAUGUUUUCUGUAGAGAAUAUUACCACGCAGUGGCCAGGAAGCAAAUGCCAAUAGAUCUCCAAAAUAUUUGAUCAUACCAAUGGAUUGCCUAGAAUAUCUUGUGGUCUUUCUGUUGCCUUUGAGAGAAUGUCAUGGAAUACCAGGUGGGGGUGGGGCAGGUGAGCUCAGGGUAGCAAGGAUUCUGACAUAGCAAAGGGAAAUUCUGUAUGGGACAGACUCAAAGGUCCCAGAUGCCCUCUCAAAUGAAGAUGGCAAUAUUCCAAAUAUUCAUUGAUCCAGAAGCAUCUCAUGGCAGGUAUAAGAUCUGGGAGAACUCAUCUUAUUCCAUUCCCAGGAAGCAAACAUCCCUUCUUGGGCAAUGUCUCCAGGCCACGCUUCUCAUCCACAGAGCAGGUGCCUGUUCUCCCCGGGUCAUCUGACAGGGGAGAUAGAAAAGCUGCAAGAGAAAGCUCACAGCACGGGGCUGAGCCCUGGAGGGGAAGUACGGAGGCCUGUAUUCUAAUUCACUGAUGAUCAAUUUGCAAGUUCUUUUUCUCUUAGUUCCCUUAGUUUCCUUCCAGGUAAUGCAGAAUUCCUUGAAGCUUCUCUAGGUUGUUUUACUUUGCAAUCUUUGGUUAGAAGGUCUUUCUCAUGUUAACAGGUGAGUUAAGGUAAGAGCCCCAGACUCCUGGGCUUCCCCCAGCCCACUCCAUGUCCCCAAAAGAGAUUCCAUUGGGGGAUACAGUUUGAAUCACCUGAACUAGACAAUUAUUACAGCUUCUCUUCCAGGUUGAAUAUUUCAGGGUCCCUUGCCAAACAGGGGAAGAUCUUGUUAAACCAAAAUCCCAAAUAGAUUUCAAAUAUGCCGGAAGUUUACAUGACCCUAAAGACUGCUCUCCAUGAGAGACUCAGGGGCUGGGGUAGUACCUUCUAAAUUUCCAUGGGAAAAUGAACAUGCUCCAGCAAGAGCUUGGGAAAAGAAGAUAGUCCCUAAGUUUUAUUGUUUGAAAUCUGUCACUCAAGGAUGCGAACGUAUCGCUGACAAUUAUGUAGCAUCUCAGAGCUCAGAAAGCACUUUUGCAUCGAUUAUUUCAUUUCUUGUUCGUGCCAGUUGUGUGAGGUGGACAACAUUAUGUUCAUAUGAGAAAUGCAGCCCAGAGAGGCUCAAACCCAGCACUUUUAACUCCCAAUCUCCCUCUUUUCUCAGUACCAUGUGGUAAGUCUUUAUUAACCAGAGUGUCCAAUUAACCAGAACAUGCCUGUGUCUUAGGGAUCAUCCCAGACUGAUUUUCUUUGCAGAAAACCCCAGGGAGCCACAGCCUUUCCUGCACCUCCUUUUGUUAGCUGUAUGUUUUUUUAGGGGCCCAGUGAGGACUGCAUUUCAGAGCCUGUGUUGCAAAGCUCAUUGCUGUGGAGGAGACGGUUAUGGGCUGGGGCCUGGGUCUUCCGCCCCUUCCUGGCAGACCAGGAGCUUCAGUUGCUCUCUGUGAAGUUCUACUUUGCAGGAGCCUGACACAGACGACAGCCCCAGGUGAUCCCUAUUCUUCAAGACCAAGCCAGGGAAAAUCUUCCAGAUGUUCUUGCUACUCACCCCGACCUUGCGGUCUUACCCUUCUGGCUGAACAAGAGACAAACAGCUCCUCUCCACUUGGCUGUGUGCGGCUUAACGAAUGCGUAUGAAGACCGUAUAAAUAAUUCACAUCACUCAAGAGGUGGCGAGCUGAACAAGUCCCUUCUGGUUACAUUUAUUUCAAGAUAAGGUGAAACUAAGUGAGUGAUGGCCCAGUUACAGAGGCCAGGGUCCAAAGGGGAUUGGGACACUCUAAGUUACACCACCAGAGUGAUUUGUGCAGAACUGUGUCAACUUAGAGAUCCUGGCACCUUGGGGGAAAGGGAAAUGUCUUAUCUCUAAGAAAAGUGAUACAGGAUGAGUAUUUUCCAAGUACAGCCUAUAAGCUAAUUCUGCAGAAUCAAUUUGGCUCUGCCAGGAACCAAGUUUCCGCUUUAAUCUAAGAGGAACUCUGAAUUAGUAACCUUGCAAAUGUUGUCUUCCCUUGGAAAUGUCACUAAGGGACUCUUCGAAGCAUGGGUGUGGGUCCUUGGUGUAGGUCCUCUAGGUGCAUGAGGUGGCACUUUCCAGAAGCAUGGGUGAACCUCCCAAGGGAGUCCAGAGUCUUUUAUUGGAAUCGACGGAUGAGAAAAAUAUUGUUUUGCAACUUGAGUGAAUGUGGCCUCCAAGAUCAAAACCUGGACUAGAAAAGCCUGUGGAGUGGCGCUAGAACGGGGCAAGGUAGAGAGGAGAGCUUUCUCCUGCUGUGAAUUUACCACUCAUUCCUGUAUUGUAGCCACAUGCUUUAAUUUUUUUUUCUUCUCCCUUUUCCCACAGUGCCCCCUAAAUAUUUCCACUGAAGACUUUUAGAACUUUGGAAUAAGGAAAGUGUAUCUCCAGCUGACAAUAAAAUUUACGAAGCAAAGAAUGCCUCCGUUAAUACUUUCCAAACGUCUUUGUUUUUGAAUGAGCAAGAUGCUGAGAACCUUCCAAUUCAGUAACCCUGCCUCUGACAGGCAGCAGAACAGUUAGCAAGGUUGACAGAUAGAUGCAGCCACACGAUGCAAUAAUCCUUGCUGCACUGAACUUUGUAUUUAAACACUUAUUUUAUGUUUAAUUAAUUUCUCCAAAGAGGAAAACUUCCAGGCUGCCUUUGAAGCCGGCUGUUUGUUUAAGAUAUUUUGUUUUAAGAAUAAGAGAAAAAAAGGAAGGAAGGAAACGGAGGGAAAAUGUUUAUGUUUUUCCUGUUGUUUUUUCAAAUAUGAUGUGACAUUGUGAAGAGGCCUCCUGAAAGUGCAAUUUUUUGUUUGUGAUGGAAGAGAGAUGCACCUAUGAGUCUUACAUCAUCAAAGAAACAGACGCGUAUCUAUAAUUUAUGCUUUGCUUUAAGCUUCUGCUGAUCUGAUGUGGCUUUUUUAAGACAACACAGGCAGCCCUGGCAUCACUUGUCAAUCAUCGGGGCAUGCUCAAAUCGUAGACCAUUAGCAGGAGAGACGGCAGAGUUUCUUUAAUGACGCUUUUAUAUGGGGCAUCCUGGCAGUGAAACAGAGAGGGUUUGAUUUGAUCAAUGCAUUAGCCUAAUCACAGCGUUCCUGCUCUUAAUUUCUUUUGUCGGCAAUUUCCAUACAUGGGUUGCGUUCAGGGUUCUGGCAAAGACCCGUUCAGAACUCCGUGUGACAUGUGCAGUCACCUUGCCCGGAUUUCUCUCGGUGGGAAGCGACGUCUGCAAGAGAGGGGACGGCGGCUGGGCUGGAUGGCUGCCUUUGAGUCCGUCCUGCGGUGAGGCUGGGGAAGGCCCAUUCCACGCGAGCCUUGGCUUCAGCCCUGAGGUGCCUGCCAGCCCCCGUGGCAGACCCCAGCCCUGCCAAUUUCAGCCCCCUUGGUGAUUCUGUUCCAGCGCUCGCCAAAAGCAGAAUCCGUGUAUAAUGAACAAGUUUCAUGUUCAACAUUUUAAGUGUCUAUUUAUGAGUCCCAGUAAUUAGCCCUUUGUCUGCAAUUCUGGCGAUGAUGAUUAGAAUUCCAUCUCACGUUAUGAAUGCUGCUCCCCAAACUUGUCCUUCUCGCCUGGAGAAUCGCAAGCAGGUGGGCACCUGAAAGGCAAAGAAAGGGGGCGAUUUGGGGAGUGGCCGGUCUCU